UGGAUCUGUAGUUUGUUUGUU
rnacentral:piRNA from 1 species